UUCAAAAGGAAAUUUCCAAAAAUGAAUACAACUCACUGCAAUUGAUUGAACUUAAGUUUAAAGAGUCAUCACAUCAAUGGGGUCAUGGAAAGAAAGCUCAUCCAACAUAGCCUAUGCAUUUGAGUAAAGCAUAUCAAAACAGAAAAAAGAAAAAAACUGUGGCUACAUGUGUGUGUAUUGAAAGCAAAAAUAACAAAAAUGAAAAAAAAUUCAAACUGUGGCUAUUCAAACUAAAAAUUAAAGCAAAAAUUAAAGAUUCAGAAAUGUAUGCACCCC
rnacentral:lncRNA from 1 species